AAUCUUUUAUUUCUUCCUCAGCUCCCACUCAUUUCUCACAAACCUCUCUCUCUCUCUCUCUCUCUCUCUCUCUCUCUCUCUCUGAAGCUCACGAACCCAGCUCUCUGCCAAAGCCUCAAGAUCCACUCCACCUCACCAAAAAGUUCAAACUUUUUACUACCCAGAAGAUUACUCACCUACAAAAGCCAUGACGAUCGAUCAGGAUCUGCGAUAUCCGGUAUUGAUUUCUCACGUUUUCUCGGUCACCGCUUUUUUCAUGUAGUCAUGAGGAUCAAUCCGAUUGUGGGUUUGAUGCAGAGCUCAAUCUCAUUGAUUGCUUGGACGUGGGCUUGAAGAUCAUGGUCGACGUUGAUAAUUCUGAUCAUGGCCGAAAAAGCAUUUCUUCGCCAGCAAAGAACAAAGGUACUACUCAUGUAAAGGACCAGACUGCAGUGAAAAAAAUAAAGAGGAGGCAGCUCAUGAGACUUUUGUUAAGACUUAAUCAUUUCCCACCGUGUCGGCUCCUUUGAGUCUCGGACCACAGGCCAUCGUGGAGCGUUAGGCAGCUGUGGGCUCGACUGCUCUGCAUCGCGUGGGGCUGCGAAGGUUCAAGAAAUCAUAGUCAUAUCCAUAAUCAUAUAUUUGUGACCUUGGUGCCUUUUGAUAAAGUGGGCUUCUUUUUUCCGAAAAAUAAUUGCAAGGGCAUGUGAUGCUUCUCUUGUCUUUA